GACGAACGCUGGCGGCGUGCUUAACACAUGCAAGUCGAACGGAAAGGCCCUGCUUUUGUGGGGUGCUCGAGUGGCGAACGGGUGAGUAACACGUGAGUAACCUGCCCUUGACUUUGGGAUAACUUCAGGAAACAGGGGCUAAUACCGGAUAGGAGCUCCUGCUGCAUGGUGGGGGUUGGAAAGUUUCGGCGGUUGGGGAUGGACUCGCGGCUUAUCAGCUUGUUGGUGGGGUAGUGGCUUACCAAGGCUUUGACGGGUAGCCGGCCUGAGAGGGUGACCGGCCACAUUGGGACUGAGAUACGGCCCAGACUCCUACGGGAGGCAGCAGUGGGGAAUAUUGCACAAUGGGCGGAAGCCAGAUGCAGCGACGCCGCGUGCGGGAUAACGGCCUUCGGGUUGUGAACCGCUUUCGCCUGUGACGAAGCGUGAGUGACGGUAAUGGGUAAAGAAGCACCGGCUAACUACGUG
rnacentral:rRNA from 1 species